rnacentral:rRNA from 1 species
CGAAUUCACUAGUGAUCCUACGGGAGGCAGCAGUGGGGAAUUUUGGACAAUGGGCGCAAGCUUGAU